rnacentral:tRNA from 2 species
GGAGCGUUGGCAGAGUGGCUUAUUGCGCACGGUUGCUAACCGUGUGGCGCGCCAGCGCCCGUAGGUUCGAAUCCUACACGCUCCGCCA